CCCACAUCACUCCGCGGCCAGACGGCAGAUGAAUCGUGCAUGCGCAAAGUCACUACAGAUCCCAUCCAGACUUACGGAGCCAUAUAAACGAAAAUGUUUCUUCACUGUCAUGCUAAAAUAAACCACAGCAUUUAGCCUCUAGUGAAAAAACAUAUUUUGGGUGUUUUAUACUCAUUUUUUGGUCUCUUCCACAACGUUAUUCCUCUCUCCUACAACGUUGAUUACAAUUACAUGCAAACUGGGAAAUAUGCAAAUUAGAUAAUGAUGUCAUUUAGCGACUUCUAGAGACUUGUAGGACAGCCAAUAGCGACUUCCCUUACUGAGGAGUUGGCAAAAGUGUCCGCGACCCGCCCUCGACCCACUCCCCGAGAGAAGAAUCUGCCCUUUCUCCGCUAACCCCUCUCCAGUUGCUGUUUCAUCCAUCCCCUGACCUUUCACCUCUGCAUCAACUAGAAAAGCGAACCCAAAGGCACUUUUAAGAGCCAUAUCUUUCUGUCUUUCUAUCUGUCUAUUUCUGUCUUUCUAUUCAUCUGUCUGUCUGUUUAUCCCUCUAUCAGUGUCAGUGUCCUCGUAAGCCAUCCAUAAAUUCUUUGUAUAGUAAGUCUGCCUGUUUGUCUGCACUUGUUUAUUUGUUUGUCAAUAUCUGUUUGUCCAUACCUGUUUAUUUGUUUGUCUGUAUCUGUUUUCUGCAAUGGACAACAGACUGACCCUUGACCCCCAGAAUCCCCACUACAAAGAGGGGAGGCGAAUGGCGAUUGAAAUGAGACUUGACCAGAUGCUUGCUGAAGCCAGGAAAGCCGCUGAGCUCAGGAGAAGGUCGUCUUCCCAAGACUCAGCAAAGAAGGCUAAAAGGCCAAGGCAAGGACAAGGAAAGCCCAGGGGGAGGAAUGGUGGGCGACGCAGAGCCUCGGCUUCAGUUGGACAGCCUCAGGCUGAGUGCUCCCUGUCAUCCAGUGUGGAAGAUGUUCCAACUUUACCAUCACCAAGUCCUCUGGAAAAAUUUGCAAAAAACAUGGAGCAGCUCUCUGCUAUUUUGGAGUCAUGCCAUUCUGCUGAGCCUCAGAAAAGCUCCUCAUCCUGGUCUGACCGUCAGCAUAAAGCCUCGGAGCGCUGGAAAGAGUCAAGGCCAUACAACCUCCAAUGCCUCAUUGAAGAAGAGUCUGUUGGGCAUCCCUUGUGUUGUCUCUGCAAUGAACCAG